rnacentral:rRNA from 1 species
AACAACGGAGAGUUUGAUCCUGGCUCAGGAUGAACGCUAGCGACAGGCUUAACACAUGCAAGUCGAGGGGCAGCGGGGAGGAAAGCUUGCUUUUCUCCGCCGGCGACCGGCGCACGGGUGAGUAACACGUAUGCAACCUGCCUCAGACAGGGGGAUAAUCGGCGGAAACGCCGUCUAAUACCGCGUAAAAUCUCAGGGGACAUCCCCUGAGGUAGAAAGGCUUCGGCCGGUCUGAGAUGGGCAUGCGGCGCAUUAGUUAGUUGGCGGGGUAACGGCCCACCAAGACGACGAUGCGUAGGGGUUCUGAGAGGAAGGUCCCCCACACUGGUACUGAGACACGGACCAGACUCCUACGGGAGGCAGCAGUGAGGAAUAUUGGUCAAUGGGCGCGAGCCUGAACCAGCCAAGUCGCGUGAGGGAAGACGGCCCUAAGGGUUGUAAACCUCUUUUGUCAGGGAGCAAACGAGCCUCGUGAGGCUUUAUGAGAGUACCUGAAGAAAAAGCAUCGGCUAACUCCGUGCCAGCAGCCGCGGUAAUACGGAGGAUGCGAGCGUUAUCCGGAUUUAUUGGGUUUAAAGGGUGCGUAGGCGGAAGAUCA